GAGUUUGAUCCUGGCUCCAGAUUGAACGCUGGCGGCAUGCCUUACACAUGCAAGUCGAACGGCAGCACGGGGCUUGCUCCUGGUGGCGAGUGGCGAACGGGUGAGUAAUGCAUCGGAACGUAUCCUGGAGUGGGGGAUAACGUAGCGAAAGUUACGCUAAUACCGCAUAUUCUGUGAGCAGGAAAGCGGGGGACCUUCGGGCCUCGCGCUCUUGGAGCGGCCGAUGUCGGAUUAGCUAGUUGGUGAGGUAAAGGCUCACCAAGGCGACGAUCCGUAGCAGGUCUGAGAGGAUGAUCUGCCACACUGGAACUGAGACACGGUCCAGACUCCUACGGGAGGCAGCAGUGGGGAAUUUUGGACAAUGGGGGCAACCCUGAUCCAGCCAUGCCGCGUGAGUGAAGAAGGCC
rnacentral:rRNA from 1 species